CCUACGGGUGGCAGCAGUGGGGGAUAUUGGACAAUGGGGGAAACCCUGAUCCAGCGACGCCGCGUGAGUGAAGAAGUAUUUCGGUAUGUAAAGCACUAUCAGCAGGGAAGAAAGAAAUGACGGUACCUGAGUAAGAAGCCGCGGCUAACUACGUGCCAGCAGCCGCGGUAAUACGUAGGGGGCAAGCGUUAUCCGGAAUUACUGGGUGUAAAGGGAGCGUAGACGGUAAUGCAAGUCUGAGGUGAAAGGCGGGGGCUCAACCCCCGGACUGCUCUGGAUACUGUGUAACUGGAGUGCAGGAGAGGCAGGUGGAACUCCUAGUGUAGCGGUGAAAUGCGUAGAUAUUAGGAGGAACACCAGUGGCGAAGGCGGCCUGCUGGACUGUAACUGACGUUGAGGCUCGAAAGCGUGGGGAGCAAACAGGAUUAGAUACCCGAGUAGUC
rnacentral:rRNA from 1 species